UUUUUUGCUUUGAAAAUAUUUAAUUUUAUUAUUAAAAGAUUUUUUUAUGAUAAAUUAAAGUAAUAACAUGAUAAAAGUAAAAGGAAGAGGGGGUACAAGCAUGUUGAAAGGAUUACAACCAAGCAAAAUUGAGUGGACUGGACCCACCCAAUAAACUAAAGGCCAAUAAAAACCAACAUAGUAAAACUUUAAAGAAAAAAAGGAUGGGGGCGCAAAAAGCAAACAAGCCCAAAGCUGAACUCAAUCCAUGAGGGAGCCAAGAGAGUUAAAAUAGUUUGACUCACCUAGUGCAUUUAUUUAAUGAUAAAAUAGAUCUAAGGAGGCAGGAUGGGAGGAGUAUGGAAUAUGGUGGGGGUCCUCAUUUGGGACUCUCGGUCAAUGCACAGGGUCUACUGAUCCAAAGGCUCACAAAAGGACACUCGUGAAAGUCGGGAGAGAUGAGAAAAUGAUUAAAAGAAAGAACAGAGAACACCUAAAGCUCAUUCACCCAUCUUCCCUCUCUCUCACCACAUGCCUCUUAUAUCUUCUCUCAUAACAAAGACCAUUUUCACACUCAUUCCUUAAAAAAUAAGAUCAAACUCACCAAUCUGAAGAACAUAGCAAGAACUGCGAAGAACAUCUCCUACCCUAUUCUCCAGAUUUUCUGAAAUUUUCCCAAAAACACAACCUAUGAACAUGAACCCUUACUCAAAUUCCCUUAUGAGUAUGAAUUCAUGGUCAAAAUACACAAAAAGUAAACCACAGGUCUAGAUCAGACUCCCCCUCCCCAAAUAAACCAUAGACUUUUUUUCUUCAAGUUACAACAAAUACAAGGUUUGUUACAUUAGUAAAAGAAACAUGUAUAUAAAACUAGCGUACAAUGACAUAAAAAUCAAAGGAAAAUCAAGGAUAAAGAUCCUCUCCGGAACCUAGAAUUUCCAGAAUUCUGGAAAGAGCUCCGGUGAAAUCUCAGACCUUUAGGUAGAUCUCCUUUGCUCUUCGUAUCUCUCUUUUUCUGUUGUCUGAAUUCCCUCAUCUCCUUCUUCUUCUUUCCUUAUAUUGGGAUGCAGGGUUUUGUUGUGAUUCUAGGUGUCUUGUAGAGGAGUUCUUGUAUUUUUUUGUGUGAUUGAAGGAUGGAUGCAACUGGGUUUCUGUAGGAAUUUUUAGUUUGUUUAUGGAGUGAAUUCAAGUGUGUAUUAUAUAGGUGAAUUUUAGGUAUGUCUUUGUAUGAUUAACAAGGAAUACAAAGUCACAGUUAACAUACCCCCUCUCGGUAGCUAGUAAUUCCAUAGUGUAAGAGUUAAACUCAUAGAUAUGUUAGCCUCGAACUAGGUUUUCACCUUGGGGAAAGGAAGGGGAACCAUCCUUUGGCUGAGCACAGUAGACGUCAAAUCAAAGUAGAAACCUAACUCGUCCAUACCUUAUAUGUGAUAAAAUAAAAUCAUGAAAUAUUAUAUGAUGAAAUAAAACCAUACUACAAUAUUAUAUGAUGAAAUAACAUCAGGAAAGAUUAUGCGAAGAAAUAAAUUCAUGAAAAGCUAAGCAAUGAGCAAAGCUAAUAUGACCAUAGGGGAAGAAAAAUAUCAAUUAUAAAAGCUGAAUUGAUGAAAUAUCCAUGAAAAUAUUAUUACAAAUGUUGAAAUCGACAAUGAAUGAGAAACUAUCAAUAUAAAGGAAACAUGGAUCAUGCCUUAUCGCCUGAUAGCUCUCCUUCCACCACUUCCUUCUUUGUGUUUAAUAAUUCUCAUGGAAUCUUUAUAAGCGGGACCAUUGUUGCAACCACUCUUAUCAGAUUUGUUGGCAGAAAACGGGGAUCGAUCAUGUGACUUUUUUCUUUAGCUUUCUGGAGAAAGACACCCAUGGUUCAACAUAGCUGAAGUCAACCAUGUAUGCCUAACAAGAGGGGAAUUAUCAUCCUUUUGGGGUGCUCCCGUCGCUAUCUUAGCUGAGUUCGAAAAGGAGUUUUAAAAGGGAGAUGGAGAUGGAGGUGUUUUGUUUGAUGCUUGAGCUUCCUUCCUCUUAAAGAGGUCACAAACCAACCUCAUGUUACCAACAUGACAAAGUAAAGAAGACACUCAAAACGAAUACUAAAAAAGAACGACAAGGUGUUAAUAUAACACCUUUUUUUCUCCGUAGGUGACACUUAUGAGAGAAAAUUUUUGUUCACAUAGCACAUGCUCUCUAAAAAGUUGAAUAAAUCUUCCUUCAAAACCCUUCCUUCAGGUUCAGAGAGUCCAAGGAAAAUGCACACUUUUUCUAAAGCCAGAGGAAGUGGUCUCGGGACUAGUAUUCUUGAAUUAUGCUUCCACAUUUUUAUGCCUGAUCCGGUCAAGGAGGAACAAAAGGAAAAUGUCGUCUUCAGAGAGAAUGCAAAAUAUAGAAUGAGAUUCUUAACUUAUGGGGGUGACAUCUGAGAGAAUGCAAAAUAUAGAAUGAGCUUCUUGAGCUUCUCUAACUAUAAGGGUAAAACAUCAAACACCUUCUUCAAUUGAUAGUGCGAUGCCAAACCUUUUCCCUGGUACUCUCUCACAAAAGUACGCGUUACAUUGAAGAUGCUGCAAAAUAAUCUCAAAGUCGGCACUCCACCUAGGUGCUCACAUGAAUAAUAGAGCACCUUAACAAAAUUCCACGCUAUCGGGUGCAGCUGGGAUAAAGUAAUUCUCAAAUGGUUUAAUACUUCCACUCAAAGUAUUUGAAAGGAAGUCUAAACCCCAAUAUUGAAAGCAUGCAUUCAUAGAGGGGUGUCGAGCACCCAUCAAAGGAUCUAGAAACCCUCUUGUUGGAUGUUAUGUGAGAAGUAACCCAAUUAGAAGACAGUUUCAUGUCCAAUUAGGUACUCUUAAAAUUCUAAGCACUUCUGAAGACAUAAGUCAUCACCAUCAAUUCUACUUCCACCUAAAACUAGUAAG
rnacentral:lncRNA from 1 species